rnacentral:sRNA from 1 species
AGGAGGUUAAUUCUCUCCGCUUCAUUUGGCUGAUAUUUCCAUGUAUAUCGGACAUCGUGCAUUGCACUGUCAUAUCUAAACUAUUCUGAUCAGAGGCCGACUUUGGAAGGUAAAAAGAUUCGAGACUGGUUUCUCAGGGAUCAGUGACAACACACAACACUGGUCUGUUGAUGACAAUAUUUAACUCGGGAACCAACAGCCCGUAUUCAUGGUUCUUUCGUCGAUUUCAAUUGGUGACUUCAUGGUCCAGCUUCGGUCUAGAUAGAUAUGCUUUGAAAGGCCUCAACAGGCAUUGCUUUUCAUCAUCUAUUAUCACAUCGC